rnacentral:rRNA from 1 species
AAUAGAUACCCGGGUAGUCCAUGCCGUAAACGUUGGGAACUAGAUGUAGGGCCUGUUCCACGGGUUCUGUGUCGUAGCUAACGCAUUAAGUUCCCCGCCUGGGGAGUACGGCCGCAAGGCUAAAACUCAAAGGAAUUGACGGGGGCUCGCACAAGCGGCGGAGCAUGCGGAUUAAUUCGAUGCAACGCGAAGAACCUUACCAAGGCUUGACAUAUAGAAGAACACUGCAGAGAUGCAGGACUCUUUGGACACUUCUAUACGGGUGGUGCAUGGUUGUCGUCAGCUCGUGUCGUGAGAUGUUCGGUUAAGUCCGGCAACGAGCGCAACCCUCGUCCUAUGUUGCCAGCACGUGAUGGUGGGAACUCAUGGGAUACUGCCGUGGUCAACACGGAGGAAGGUGGGGAUGACGUCAAAUCAUCAUGCCCCUUAUGUCUUGGGCUUCACGCAUGCUACAAUGGCCGGUACAAAGGGCUGCGAUACCGUAAGGUGGAGCGAAUCCCGAAAAAGCCGGUCUCAGUUCGGAUUGGGGU